rnacentral:rRNA from 1 species
GUGGUCAAGCUACAAAGGGCUGAUGGUGGAUACCUAGGCACACAGAGGCGACGAAGGACGUGGUUACCGACGAUAUGCCCCGGGGAGUUGGAAGCAGGCAUUGAUCCGGGGGUUUCCGAAUGGGGCAACCCUACAUACUGUUACCUGAAUCUAUAGGGUAGCAAGAGCGAACGCAGCGAAUUGAAACAUCUUAGUAGCUGUAGGAAGAGAAAACAAACGUGAUUCCCUUAGUAGCGGCGAGCGAAGCGGGAAGAGCCUAAACCAGAUUGCAUGCAGUCUGGGGUUGUGGGACAGCGACAUGGACGCGAGCGGUUAGACGAAGCAGCUGAAUACUGCAUCAGAGAAGGUGAAAAUCCUGUAGUCGAAAACUUAACGCUACUAGCUGGAUCCCGAGUAGGUCGGGGCACGUGAAAUCCCGAUUGAAUCCGCGAGGACCACCUCGUAAGGCUAAAUACUCCUGUGUGACCGAUAGUGAACCAGUACCGCGAGGGAACGGUGAAAAGAACCCCGGGAGGGGAGUGAAAUAGAACAUGAAACCAUCAGCUUACAAGCAAUCGAAGCACGAUUUAACGUGUGACGGUGUGCCUGUUGAAGAAUGAGCCGGCGACUUAUAGGCACUGGCAGAUUAAGCCGGGAAUGGCGAAGUCAAAGCGAAAGCGAGUCUGAAUAGGGCGUUAGUCAGUGUUUAUAGACCCGAACCCGGGUGAUCUAACCAUGUCCAGGAUGAAGCUUGGGUAACACCAAGUGGAGGUCCGAACCGACUGAUGUUGAAAAAUCAGCGGAUGAGGUGUGGUUAGGGGUGAAAUGCCAAUCGAACCCGGAGCUAGCUGGUUCUCCCCGAAAUGUGUUGAGGCGCAGCGGCAAUGAUUAUAGCUGGGGGGUAAAGCACUGAUUCGGUGCGGGCUGCGAGAGCGGUACCAAAUCGAGUCAAACUCUGAAUACCCAGUGCACACAUUGCCAGUGAGACGGUGGGGGAUAAGCUUCAUCGUCAAGAGGGAAACAGCCCAGACCACCAGCUAAGGUCCCCAAAUCAUCAUUCAGUGAUUAAGGAGGUGGGAGUGCAGAGACAACCAGGAGGUUUGCCUAGAAGCAGCCAACCUUAAAAGAGUGCGUAAUAGCUCACUGGUCAAGCGCUCCUGCGCCGAAAAUGAACGGGGCUAAAUGAUGUACCGAAGCUGUGGGAUAUGCAAAUAUCGGUAGGGGAGCGUUCUGUUGUAGUUAGAAGCAUCAGCGAGAGCAGGUGUGGACGAAGCAGAAGUGAGAAUGUCGGCUUGAGUAGCGCAAACAUUGGUGAGAAUCCAAUGCCCUGAAAUCCCAAGGUUUCCUCCGGAAGGCUCGUCCGCGGAGGGUUAGUCGGGACCUAAGGCGAGGCCGAAAGGCGUAGUCGAUGGACAACUGGUUAAUAUUCCAGUACUUGUUUUGGUUUGUGCAGAGGGACGGAGAAGGCUAAACUAGCCGGAUGUUGGUUACCGGUUCAAGCGUCCGAGGUGCUGAGAGUCGGUGAAAACGACUUGAGCUGAGGCGUGAGUACGAGGGGAUACGUCCCCGAAGUAGUUGAUGUCAAGCUUCCAAGAAAAGCUCUAAACACGUUAAGCCAAAAUGACCCGUACCCUAAACCGACACAGGUGGGAAGGUUGAGAAUACUAAAGGGCGCGAGAUAACUCUCUCUAAGGAACUCGGCAAAAUGGCCCCGUAACUUCGGGAGAAGGGGUGCCAGCGAGAGCUGGUCGCAGUGAAGAGAUCCAGGCGACUGUUUACCAAAAACACAGGUCUCCGCUAAGUCGCAAGACGAUGUAUGGGGGCUGACGCCUGCCCAGUGCCGGAAGGUUAAGGAAGUCGGUUAGCGCAAGCGAAGCUGGCGACUGAAGCCCCGGUGAACGGCGGCCGUAACUAUAACGGUCCUAAGGUAGCGAAAUUCCUUGUCGGGUAAGUUCCGACCCGCACGAAAGGCGUAACGAUCUGGAUGCUGUCUCGGAGA